rnacentral:rRNA from 1 species
AUACGAAGGGGGCAAGCGUUGUUCGGAAUAACUGGGCGUAAAGCGCACGUAGGCGGAAUGUUAAGUUAGAGGUGAAAUCCCAGGGCUCAACCCUGGAACGGCCUUUAAUACUGGCAAUCUAGAGACCGAGAGAGGUGAGUGGAAUUCCGAGUGUAGAGGUGAAAUUCGUAGAUAUUCGGAGGAACACCAGUGGCGAAGGCGGCUCACUGGCUCGGUCCUGACGCUGAGGUGCGAAAGCGUGGGGAGCAAGCAGGAUUAGAUACCCUAGUAGUCC